rnacentral:rRNA from 1 species
AUUGAACGCUGGCGGCAGGCCUAACACAUGCAAGUCGAACGCAGUGGGGAUGGGUGAGUAACACGUGGGUAACCUCCCAUCAAAGGGGAUAACACUUGGAAACAGGUGCUAAUCCGAUAUUGAUGGAUGGACCCGCUGGGCAUUAGCCAGUUGGAGAGGUAACGGGUCACCAAGGCCACGAUGCUUAGCUGACCUGAGAGGAGCAUCGGCCAAACUGGGAAUGAAACACGGCCCAGACUCCGACGAGAGGCAGCAGUAGGGAAUUUUCGGCAAUGGACGAAAGUCGGACCGAGCAACGCCGCGUGAGUGAAGAAGGUUUUCGGAUCGUAAAACUCUGUUGGUAGAGAAGCGGUAUCUAACCAGAAAGCCACGGCUAACUACGUGCCAGCAGCCGCGGUAAUAC